rnacentral:lncRNA from 1 species
AAGAAAUCACUGAAUCCACUUAUCGACUUCAAGUUUAGGGUAAUCGGUGACUGAUUGGGAGAUACAUGUGCAUAACGCGAAAGAAUGAGAAUUUUCAAGAAUGACGAACAGAAGUCCCCUUGAUUGUUCCCCAGAUAAAUGAUCUGGAAAAGAUCAGUCGUCUUCGCAGUGAUCAAGACAUUGUUUGAGCAUUGAUCGCGGUUUCCUUUUUGCUCGGCGAAUAACAAUUCCUGGCAAACUUUCUCUUAGCCGUUCAUAAAAUCGAGAGAUGCGGUCUUGAGCAGCAGUCUCACUUAUUGUGAAAAGGAGAACGUAGGGCUGAAUCUUUGUUAGUCCAACGAAAAUGACACCUUGAAACAACACUUCAAGAGUUAAUUUCCCUGCUGGAUAAUCAUGCAAAACUCGCAAUUAGUAACUUGCAAACUGUGCGAGUUCCAGAAGAUAUUUGAUAGAAAAAUGAUAUACUAGAAUUUGCGCUUUCCAUUAACGUUAAAACACCUAGGUUUUUUGCCUUGGGAUCAUGAAUUAGCAAACUAGUUGAAAGAAUCACCAUAUUCAUGCCAGAUAUAUAAAAAUUUAUAAAAAAAAAAUGCCAAAUACAGUGUAACUCGGGAUAUGACAAUUCAGAAGUCAAAGGAAUAAGAGAACUGCGUCGACUGCAUAAGGCGAUAUUCUCACUAUGUCAGCAAUUUUCUGCUCAAAGAUGUGAAUAAUUUAUGUGAUGUAAAUAAUCCAUAACAGCAUAAAAGGAAAAUAUUCCAGUGAAAUGAAACAUUCAAAGUCGCCAAUGUGUUACCGAUGCCAAAAAUUGACUGAAAGCAUACAUGCAUGAAGGAAUUUAUGGCUGAAAUACAGCCAUCAAACUUGAUUGCCCUUUUAAUAAGGUUCGAUAGGCACUUUUCACUCGACCUUUGUAAGCCUGAUGACAGCCUAAAUUACAAACUAUCGAGAAUGAACAGCAUGACACAUGACAGCUACACUGAAGUGUGAAAAUUAUUGUUUAUAAACCAGCCUCAAGUGAAGAAGUUGUGAUGAAUCAAUCGUUAAGAUCAUGAAGUAAGGAAUCAUAGAUAUAUAGUUCUCCCAGAGUUUUUAUGGCGGGAAAUGAAGCAGAGUGCAAGACUCUUUCAACAAGAUGCAAUGAGAACAAUCAGAAAAAAAACAUUGACAUUUGAAUGAUAUUACUUAUUUGAGGUUCAUUAUUCUACAAUCAUCUUGCAAACAGCAGGCGCAUGUUUAGCCUUCAAACAACAAUUGCUCCGGAAGACUGCUAAUUCUCAUUGACAGCUAAUAAUGGCGAAAGGUAUAACUCGUAAUCACAGUAUAUUAGUAGCUGCCACCAGAGGAGAAUGCAUCACGACUUAAAACCUGAGCGCCUAUGAUGCAAUUACAUGCCACAUUGGAUCAAUCAACGAACAAAUUAUCAGCAAACUUCUAUUGUCAAAAUGAAGAACCUGCAAAGCUUUGAGAGCUGCGUACUUACUGGGGAUAAAAGCUAGCUAUACCGAAUAUCUAACCUUAAAUAGCUAUCGAAAGUUUACCCACUUACGUAAAUUAAAGUAGCAAGAACUACGCCGAACACAAGAACAAAGGGUCAGAUCUGUGAACACGACUUUGGAGAAAUAAUGACAGCACACACCUGUGAAGAAGAUACAGUUUUCAUCUUUCUUGCUGAUUUCCAUUUAUCCCAGGUGCAAAUCAGACUCAAAAUAAACAUACAUACAUACCCAUUUGCACUUAAAAUUAGCAUAAGCCAUAGGUUCUAGGGUUUUUGCCAUGAAAAUGUUCCUGGGAAUAAGCAGGAGCAAGAAAAAGGCCAAAAAAGGCAAAGGAGGACAAAAAAGAGGAUUACAAGGACGGAAACCUAGAUUUGGGUAUUAACCAAUUAAAUUAAGAGCGUGUCCUUUUUGGUCACACUCAUUAGUUGCUUUCGUGCAUGACAACACACCGAACAAAUGGUCUAUAUUCAAAUGAUUUUGUUUAAAUUCACUAGACACAUCUAUGGCCAAUCGGACUUCCCCUCCCCCUCAAAUGCCCCAUGUGUGGGGAGGGAGGGGAAAAAAAGCAGUAAUAAAAAAAAAAAAAAAAGGCAAAUGACAGCUCAUUUCCCUCGUUAGAAUAAAAGGUACCCAUGUCCUAAUAAAGCCCUAUAUCUUAAAAAAAAAAAAAACUACAUCUUGAAAGAGGAAUAAACCCCACAAGCCUGUUCUGGUUAUCUCAAUAUUAUAUAUAUAUAUAUAUAUAUAUAUAGCUAUUUUGU